rnacentral:miRNA from 1 species
UAGCAGAUGUUUAGGAAUGUGCCU